ACCGAGUAUCGAACGCAAUGGUAACGAAAUAAGUUGACACCGCGUCUCGUCAAAACAUGUUCAAUUCGAAUUUACUCGGAAUUACACGUUCAACGAGCAUUUGCUGUGAAACCUGAUUAAAGGAAAAUUACUGUAGACACCUGAUAGUGAUUUGUACAGAAACGAGCUCCGGCAGGAAUGAUGGCCUCUUUUGAAAUGAAGAUUUCAUGCCUUUCUCCUACUGGGACUACAACUAACUUUGGACCUGGUCACUCGCAGAUACAGCAUGAAGUGUGCCCUCUUGAUGUACAUGGGGAUGGGAGUGAUACAGAAGGGGGACUAAUUGGAAGAACUGCUGCUGCUGGUGGUGGUGCUGGACUGUCUUGGAUCUGUUGCUUAACCGACUUGAUAUUCUUCUGUUUAAUAUGGAAGCAACACACACACACUCUGGCAUAUAUUGCACAGAAAAUAAUGAUCAGAUGGUGCCCUCCCUAUCAGAGUGGUGAUCACUGACCUAUAUUUCUUUGAAAUCCUGGAUCUGUGUUUUGGUUUUACUCUCCAUGGACAGUUGAAACAGAGAAAGAAUUAGGGACCACUCCUUGGCAUAUCUGAAAUAUUUAUGUCAUAUACAUGUAAUUAAAAUAUACAAUUUGGGUUGGAUGAAAAUCUUAUCUUCAUGUUAAAACCCAUUAGCCUAGGUUAUUUUUCCUAAAAUCUAAUUAUAAAUCAAUUAACUUGUUAAUUAAUGCUUGGUGAAUCAAUUAAUAAAUUGUAUUCAAAAACUUGGAAUUAUUUUUUUUCCACUAAUAAACUGAAAAUGUGUAUC